UGCAUCUCAGGCCUUUCUGCGGCCUCUGCCUCCUCCCCCGCCCUCUUCCCCUCCAUCCUCUUCCUCCUUUUCCUAAUCUCCCACUCUCUCCCCCCUGGCCUGGAAGGGCUGGCAAAGGGAGCCCUCUUACCACUCCACUGCCGGGAUCUUGUGCAGUGGGUGCCUGAGAAGGCGACUGGCUCUCUCGGAGACACCUUUUCCUGCCAGCCUUUGCCUCAUCUGCCCUGGGUCAAGAGAAACAGCAUCCCGCCAUCUCCAUCCCCACUAGCCCGCCAGGCUCUGCCUGGCGCAGGUACAGCCUCCAGAACACCAGCUCUCAGGCCUCCCACACUCAGUGCCCAGUCUUUAAUCCAUCUGGAAUUCAUAUUUAUGGAUGGCGUGAAGAUUUUUCAUAGGAAAAGCCAAUUGUCACAACACGUUUUAUUGAAGCCUAUUUUCUCUCACUGAGUUGCAGUGCUGCCACUAUCAUAAAUCACAUUCCCACAUAUACUUGGAUCCGUUUCUGGGCACUCUAUUCUAUUGAUCCCUUUGUCUAGCCCGACACCAAUACCACAUUGUUUUAAUUAUUAUUGCUUUCAAAAAAGUCUUGGUAUUUGUUAGGGCCAGGUCUGUUUCCUUAUUCUUUUUCAGAAUUGUCUACUUUUUUCUUGGGUCUUUGCUCUUCUCUAUGAAUUUUAGAAUCAGUUUGCCUAGCUCUGUGAAAAAUCCUGUUGGGGUAUUUAUUGGACCUGCAAUCAAUCAACAGAUUAAUGUGGAGAAAACCGGCUUCAUAACAUUGAGGCGUCUCAUCCCUAACCUAAUACUUCUCUAUGGCUCUCCAUUUAUUACUAUUGUAGCCUAUGUUUUACUUCAUAAAUAUCUUGCGAUGUAUUUUAUAAUUUUU